rnacentral:lncRNA from 1 species
CUUCGCGCAUCUUAUCUUCCUGUGUCCCGAGCUUUGGAUGAUUGUUUCUAGGGAUCCAUAGGAUGAUUAUUUUCCUUUUCUCUUGUAUAUGAUUGACGAUGUUGUACUUCUUUUCCCCGAUAUUAUUUGAUGAGAUAUUUCCAUACGUGAUAAAUGUUUAAUAUUUCCAAAACUUGCGAAUAAAACCCUAGAGUUCCUUUGAAAUAAAUAAAAAAAUAAAUCAUAUGCACAAACAUUGCAUGCAUCAUGUGCAUAAGUAGGUU